UACGAAGGGUGCAAGCGUUACUCGGAAUUACUGGGCGUAAAGCGUGCGUAGGUGGUUUGUUAAGUCUGAUGUGAAAGCCCUGGGCUCAACCUGGGAAUUGCAUUGGAUACUGGCAGGCUAGAGUGCGGUAGAGGAUGGCGGAAUUCCCGGUGUAGCAGUGAAAUGCGUAGAUAUCACUCGGAAGGCCAACGGCGAAGGCAGGUAACUGGUACGCAACUGACGCUGAGGCACGAAAGCGUGGGGAGCAAACGGG
rnacentral:rRNA from 1 species